rnacentral:lncRNA from 1 species
GGGGGUCAGAGUUCCGCUUGGUAGAAGCAGGGGUGUAGAUCGAGCGAUGGAACGAUCUCAGGAGCUACUGUAAAUGCAACACCUCUGGGUAAAGGCCUGUGAGACGAGCUACGUUAGUUGUAUUCAUACUACGGAGCUUUAAAUGUCCGAAAUGAAAAACAGCCACCAAUCGUACGUGUUCAUGUCUGUAGGAAGCUGCCUGUGCCUCCUGGCCACUCUAUCUCCCCUUAUCUCUGCUUCCUGCCUCUCCAUCUCCAAGUGCGCUCCGCAUCUUUAUACUGAUGAGAUGGAAACUAACCCACCUUCUCUGCUUACCUAGGGC